AUGAAAAAGGUCCUCCCCUCUCCCCAGAAAGGCCUAGGCCUAAUAUUAAAUGUGGAGUUUACUCUGAUUGCAGUCUUUGUUUUUCAAGGCAGAAUGGUUAGCAGAAAGAGUAUUGACUUGGGAGUGAAAUGGGUUCGAGUGUUGAUUCUUUCCUUUAGCAGUUGUAUUAUUUUGGCCAGCUCAGUUAAUUUCUCUGAGACUUCAUUUCUUUAUUUGUCAAAUGGGGUGAUAAUAUUAAUAAUGCUUGCCUUACAGGAUAAUUGUGACACGGGAGAUCAAAUAUGGUGUACCCUUCUACUCGGAAGUCAGAGUUGGUGCCACCUAAGUGGGUUCCUGAUGCAGGGGAUUUGAGGACAUCCUCUUCCUUCAACUAAUUGUGAUUUGCAUCGGAAGAGGAGCCUGUGAAUUCAGAGGCUGGGCCGCUGAGGGCCGAACGUUCCUGUCCAUAAAAACAGAAGCCUGGCCCGGGCCACUCUCUUGUGUGAAUCUGCAAAGCCAGCUCCUCUCCAUUGGUUUGGUUUUGUUUCUUGUAUCUCUGGGAAGGCAGGCAGACAGCACGGUCACCUGUGAAUGCAGCCACAAUUGGCUUAGCUGCCUCACUGAUAAAUGUGCCCCGAGUAAGCUACAGAGGGAUUAUCAGCGUUCCCAGCAGCUAAAGGUGAUUUUCAAGAACAGGAAGGAUUGCUCCAACCCGUUCUCCUUGAAUUUCAUUUUAAUAUUUUGCGUGACAGAGUGCAGAGCCGAUGGAUAUGAAUGUAUUUAACUCCCAUGACCAAUGCGCCACAGCCUCCAAAACAUGGAGCCCGAUUCUGUAUCUUCUUUUGGAUUCCAUUUUCUCAGGUUUGGACAUCCUCCAAAAGGUCAGCCAGGAAAAGUCUCUGGAUGCCAGACACCGGGCAGAGGCUCUCAGGCCAGCAGGCCACUGGUGCUCAUCCAUUCAUCCUAGAAAUGGGCACAAAGUAAAGGUUAAUUCAGACACUUGGCAAUUGCUUGCUUGCCCACUGGAGUUACACAAACCAGUCCAUGCUGAUUGACUGCAAAACUACAUCUAUUUUAUUUAGUUGUUCUCAAAUAACCUGUCUGAACAAAAUCAGAGCCUGACUGAAGAAAAUUAGGGCAUAAAGGAAAUUACACUGAGAAUAACCGAGAGUUGGGAAUUAAAAUUAACACAUUUAGGGGAACUGUCUAAUACACACUCUCCGGAUAUUUAAUUUUUUUUUUUUCAAUAGAGGAGAACUGGAAAGUUUUUAUGUUCUAGAAGAAAUUGUGAAGCCCAUUCUUAAUAGCUUUUUAAAAAUUCAGUUUUUUUAAAAGUAUUUAUCUUAAUUGACAUAUAAUUGAUUUACAACAGUGUCAAUUUCUGUGGUACAGC
ensembl:lncRNA